UACAGAGGUCUCGAGCGUUGUUCGGAUUCAUUGGGCGUAAAGGGUGCGUAGGCGGCGUGGUAAGUCUGGUGUGAAAUCCUAGAGCUUAACUCCAGAAAUGCACUGGAUACUGCCAUGCUAGAGGACUGGAGAGGAGAUUGGAAUUCACGGUGUAGCAGUGAAAUGCGUAGAUAUCGUGAGGAAGACCAGUGGCGAAAGCGAAUCUCUGGACAGUUCCUGACGCUGAUGCACGAAGGCUAGGGGAGCAAACGGG
rnacentral:rRNA from 1 species